GAAUGAAACAUUUAUUGUUGACUCAACGCAGCCUGGGGAGAAUUUAGGAUUUGUAGUGGCUGUGACUUCUGAGAACCUGACAGUCAGCACCUGCAUAAACCUUCAAUGGCAACUUCACUGUGAAAACAUUAAGCUUCACUGUACUGUUAAUUAUAGAGUGAAACAUAAAGCGCCACAUGAAACCCUGCCAGGAAAUUACACAUCUUCAGGAGACAAAGGAGAUGCAAGUUCUCCUGGCUGGCUUAUUGCUGUAAUCGUGGGGAGCGUGAUUGUGUCUGUUCUCAUCAUAUCUGCUACCAUUUGGUUUUGUUUGAAGAAGGCAAGAAAGUCAGCGUACACUCCUCCAGGUGAAGAUGAAUCUGAGGAAGAAUUCUGAAUUGUCAAAGUCUAAGCAAUAGAAGUGUUUAUAGGUCCGGUCAUCUGGCCAUGAACUCACGUAUACCUGCAAACUUUGCGUGGAGCUCAUCUCCUUUUUUUGCAUGACUGGAUUUGUCAAGAUUCAAGUAAGAAAAAUUCCUUACAUAUUUUUUUUUUGUGUGUGUGUG
ensembl:lncRNA